GUGGCUCACGAGGACUCAUCGGCGGUUCUGACAGACAUCUACCAGUAUUAAGAUUUUUAAGCGAGAAACAAGUUCAAAAUUCAAUUGAGAUUAAGAUUUUUAAGCGAGAAUCAAGUUCAAAAUUCAAUUGAGGUACGAGUCUUUUUGCUUAUUUGGGCUGUUGAAUUCAUCCUUGCCUUUACUGCAAUUUUUCUUUUUUACUGUUGUUUGGUACAUUCUGGUAUUGAUUUCAUUGCAAUUUUUCUCUUUGCCUUCAGUUUUUAUUGAAUUUAUUGACGUUUUGUGCACGAGUUAAUCUAUUUGUUAUAUGUCGUGGUUAAAGGUUUGGUUUCUUUCUUUUUUUCUUUUUAUCAAUCCUCUCUAUUUACAAUUUAAGUUGAAUUACCAUGGGAUGUACAACAAAGGAGGCUAAAAAGCAGUCUAGACCCAGGAAAAGGCCAUAAACAAAGCAAGGAAAAAGACCAGUGGUUAAAAAGGCCAAGUAGUCCGAAAGAGACAUAUAAACAAGACAUAAAGCGCAACUUUUGUCCAAAUCCUAGACAUCCCACUAACCCAAAAAAAUAAAAAAUGACAGCUAGCUACUCUAACGUGAUCAACACCUUUGCUUCAUUUUCCACGUUGGUGGGUUACCCACCCUAAGCCCCUCAAAUAAUUAACAAAUCAUUCAAACGUGUUUUAUGUUUGUGGGUUAUCCUGAACCUCUCACUAAUUAACAAAUAAACCAGUAUGCUUUCACAGUGCAUCUACACUGUUUGGUUCCAGGAAGUGAGAAAACUGAAAGUGGAACAAUGCUUUUACAUCAGCUCCCACUAUAUCGUUAACUUUUAGCCCUCAAGUCUUAAUUAAGUUUUUUCUUUGUUAAGUUUUGUCUGCAUAAAAACAAAGUCACCAGCUCCCACUACAUCAUUAACUUUUGACACCUACAAUUAUUUUGAAUUAAUAGCACAUAAUAAAGCUACUUUAAUUUUCUUCUUUGGGAUUA